AGUGAGCGCUGGCGGUAGGCCUAACACAUGCAAGUCGAACGGCAGCACAGUAAGAGCUUGCUCUUACGGGUGGCGAGUGGCGGGCGGGUGAGGAAUACAUCGGAAUCUACUUUUUCGUGGGGGAUAACGUAGGGAAACUUACGCUAAUACCGCAUACGACCUACGGGUGAAAGCAGGGGAUCUUCGGACCUUGCGCGAUUGAAUGAGCCGAUGUCGGAUUAGCUAGUUGGCGGGGUAAAGGCCCACCAAGGCGACGAUCCGUAGCUGGUCUGAGAGGAUGAUCAGCCACACUGGAACUGAGACACGGUCCAGACUCCUACGGGAGGCAGCAGUGGGGAAUAUUGGACAAUGGGCGCAAGCCUGAUCCAGCCAUACCGCGUGGGUGAAGAAGGCCUUCGGGUUGUAAAGCCCUUUUGUUGGGAAAGAAAAGCAGCAGGUUAAUACCCCGCUGUUCUGACGGUACCCAAAGAAUAAGCACCGGCUAACUUCGUG
rnacentral:rRNA from 1 species